rnacentral:rRNA from 1 species
UUCGGGACGCUGGCGAGUGGCGAACGGGUGCGUAACGCGUGGAAACCUGCCCCGAGGUGUGGGACAACAGUUGGAAACGACUGCUAAUACCGCAUAAGCCUUACGAGGGAAGGGCGCAAGUCGCCUUGGGAGGGGUCCGCGUCGGAUUAGCUAGUUGGUGGGGUAAAGGCCUACCAAGGCGAUGAUCCGUAGCUGGUCUGAGAGGAUGAUCAGCCACACUGGGACUGAGACACGGCCCAGACUCCUACGGGAGGCAGCAGUGGGGAAUAUUGCGCAAUGGGAGAAAUCCUGACGCAGCGAUACCGCGUGGGUGAAGAAGGUCUUCGGAUUGUAAAGCCCUUUCAGCAGGAAAGAUGAUGACGGUACCUGCAGAAGAAGCCCCGGCUAACUCCGUGCCAGCAGCCGCGGUAAUACGGAGGGGGCGAGCGUUGUUCGGAAUGACUGGGCGUAAAGGGCGCGUAGGCUGCUCUGCAAG